UUUCAAAAAGAAAAUUUGGUUGUCGAUGUAUUCAAAAUAUACGAAAUAUGUUUUAGUUAUUAAUAAUUUUUCAACUAUUUGUUUUGAGGAUAAACAGAGUUUAUUUAUCUUGUAUAGCUUCGGGGUUUUGAUAUUGGAAGUGAUAAUUGGGAAACAUCCGAGAGAUUUGGUUUCGAGUUUAUCAUCGUCUCCCGAAGAAACUCUGUCACUGAGAAGCAUUUCCGAUGAACGUGUAUUAGUUUCACAGGGAAAAAAUAGAGAGAAGCUCACAAAAAUGGUGGAAAUUGCUUUAUCGUAUUAACAAGCAGAUCCGGAAACUCGGCCAACUAUGUUGUCAAUCUUCACUACAUUUUCUUAAAAUGUUUCUUUCAAUUUUUCUAAGGAGGCCAAAUUAUAGGUCCAUUCUAUGAUAAUUUUGUUAAAGAUUUAGUUAAAAACAAAAAACAAUACAUUAAAAAAAUUAUAGGUCCAUUCUAAAUUUCAUUUUUGUGUUACUAAU
rnacentral:sRNA from 1 species